CAGAUUUAUCAUCUUCUCCAUCACAAAGACCUAACUGAUUCCAAAAGCCCUGAGGCAACCAAAACAGCCGCAAAAGACCACACAAAGCAAAAAGAAGAAAAUUCCUCUACGGCAAGGACCCCCUUCUAAGAAAUCUCUUUGAACCCAUCAUAUUUUUCAAACUCUGAUUUGAGAAAGAAGCCACAUAUAAUCAUAUACACACUUAAUAACUCCUCCACCCUUUAUUUUAAGAAGAUCAAAUAUGCACACCCGAGAAAAAGCAAAGAACGGACCUGCACAAAAAUGGAUGAAAAAUUAGAAAAGGGGGAAAUUAAGAAGAAGAACAGAGGGGACCAGGAGUGACUAAAAUCAAAAGCAGCUGACUCACCCCUUUUAAAAUACCAUAGUCGUUGCUCUCUUCAUUCUUCAAUUUCAGAAAUUUAUUUUCAAUGAUAGGGUCAAGCUGAAAUGGGCUUUCGAUUUGGAGUGUCCGUUAGAGGGUAAUCAGAAUGGAAUUGGAAGGGCAGUUCUCCGUUUGAAGCUUAAAAUUUGAAAGAUUCAGGUAUUUCUGAGCUCGGUGGCAGGUUCAUCGGAGUUAGCAAGGUAUGCUGCCUGGCGAUCGCAGCCCUGCUUUUCUCCCUCCUUAUUCUUCCUUAAAUGUAUUCUUGUAAUUUUCUCAACCAUAUUGGUCUUGAUGUUGUUUUACAGUGUAGUAGAUGCUCAUGACUAGUGACACCCCGAUGUCGGGCUUGUGUAUUUAUUCUGCACUAUUCAUUUAAACUUAUAUCAUAAGAUUAUUGAUUAAUAAAUGGUAUAAAAAAUAACUUUUA